rnacentral:lncRNA from 10 species
AUUUAGGACAAAAUGAUGGUAUAUAAUAAAAAGAUUUAUUGUGUGACUAAAAUGAAAAUUAAAUUCCUGUUAAAAUAUUUAUGUAGAUGUGGCUGAAACAUUCUGCUGGGAAAUAAAUCAGGGCGGCCUUUGGCAUUUCACAGGCAUAACUCCUCUAUUCUUCUGCUGCAAAUUUAGAGCUUACAAGAUGCUAAUGGCACCUCAGUUUCCAGGAUAGUCUCUGCAGACUGCUUUCACUCAGCAGGUGGCUUCCUUUCAUGAUGGCUGCCAGUAACAGCUACCCCUCAUUUACAUCCAGCAGAGAUGAGGGGUAUCUCUUCGGGGAGUUCAUGCAAAAAAAAGCAAGAAAAGCUGAAAUCUUCUCACUUCAAAGGAAUGGCACAUGACAGCACUUAGCCAAUAAAGCAUUCUCUUCUGGGACUUUGCAAUGCAAGCAAAUGAAACCAGGAACACAUGGCAUUUAUUCACCCCAGGGAGCUGUCCAAAGCAGACUAUUGCAGCUAGUCUGCAAUGAGACCACUGCUGAGGAAACUACUUUCUAGCAUUCUGGAGUUAUCUCAAUCUUUCCUCAUUUCACAAGCCCACCUGUUACUUCUUUUAAUUCCAUUAUCCCUCUGUUCCUUUCCAGCACCUUUUCUUUUUUUUAUCUUUGCUUAAAAUUUUUUUUAACUUUUUGCUUCUAAAAACCAAGAAAUUUUAAGUUAUCAGAAAUUUGAUAAAAGAUGAGUGACCCAGUUACUUUGGUUAAGUCUCAGGAGAAGAUUUUAAAGCAAUUAUGUCCAAUAAGGCAACCACUAACCACAUGGAACUAUUUAAAUUCAAUUCAAUUAAAAUUAAAUAAGACAAAAAUUUAGUCUCUUGGUCACACUGGCUACAGUUCAAGUGGUCAAUAGCUGCACGUAACUUAUUGUUACUUUAUUGGACAGCACAGACAUAGAACAUUCCCUUCAUUGCAGAAAGUUCUGUUGGAUAAUUGCACUGUUCCGAAGUAUCCAAGAGUCUAUGACAGAAAAUGAGAGGUAUUAUUAAGAAAUCCUCAGGGAAAAAUAAAAGUUGGCUUAUGACAAUGGACUCUGUUACUUCCCAGAUUUACUAGCUAUGAUGAAAUCUCUGGUAUAAACAGGUAUUUUGAGUCUAGCACAGUACCUGGUACAUGGUAGUAUGUAAUUGCUAUGCAUUGAAUUAAUGUCUGCAGUAUCAGAUGCUACUAAAGCUGUGCGGAUUAAUAAAUCUUCCUUCUGUGCUGUGUCUGGGCUGUUUUGUUAUUUACUUUCCACAGGUUCCCUUGGAAGAAAUUAAGCAAAUAGAUACUACUUCUUAGGUUUCUAUUGUAGGAAAAAUCUAGAAAUGAGAUUGCAAAUAUGAAUGUUUUGGAAAACAUGAUGGUCACAGAUAGCAAUGUUCAGAGUAUGUUCCACAGAUGUUCAAAGGUGUUAAUUUAUUUUUAAUAGAUUGAGGAUCUUGGAAAAUAAAUUAGGAAAAUAAAGUUUAUGUUAAAC